rnacentral:rRNA from 1 species
GUCUACGGCCAUACCACGUUGAAAGCACCAGUUCUCGUCCGAUCACUGAAGUUAAGCAACGUCGGGCUCGGUUAGUACUUGGAUGGGUGACCGCCUGGGAACACCAAGUGCUGUAGACG